rnacentral:lncRNA from 1 species
GGGGCUGCUGGGGCUGGGGGCCGCCGCCCCCCCCGCCGCCCGCGCCGCCCCCCUGGGCCCCGCCGGGCUCCUGCUGGCCCUGCUGGGGCUGCAGGCGGGCGCCCUGCGAGCCGCCCUGCCGGGGGCGCGCCCCACGUGAGUCCCUCCCCCUUCCCCCUAAUUAUGCAGAUUUAUGCAGAUUUAUGCAGAUUUAUGCAAAUGAUGCCCUGCCCCACAGGCUCUGCCUCCCGCAGCCCCCCGGGGGCCAGCUCCAGCCCUGCCCCUCUCCGCGCCGGGGGGACAACGGCAGCGCCGCCCCGCUCCUCCCCGCCGUGCCGGGGCCCAGCGCCCGCCUGCUGGCCCGCAACCUGUGGCCCCCCGACCCACCCCUCGGUGACGCCGCCGCCACCUUCGGGCUCCUGCUGGGGCUCAGCCUCCCCACGGCCUCCGGGGUGCUGUGGGGCUGCAGCCACGCCGGGGAGCUGCGCGACGCCGCCCGUUCCAUCCCCGCCGGCAGCAUCGGGGCCGCCGUGGGCAGCGCCUUGGGGUGCAUCCGGGACCCUAAAUGGGGAAAAGGGACCCUAAAAUGUGGAAAGGGGAGCCUAAAAUGGGGAAAAGGGGGGCCUAAAGGGGAAAAGGGGGCCCUAAAAUGGGGUUGGGGUGCCCUAAAAUGGGGGUGUUGGGGAUAAAAUGGGGGAAGGGGGCCCUGAAAUGGGGAUGGGGGCCCUAAAAUGGGAAAAAGGGACCCUAAAACAUAGAAAAGGGACCCUAAAGGGGAAAAGGGGACCCUAAAAUGGGGGUGAGGGGGGAUAAAAUGGGGGAAGGGGACUCCAAAACGUGGGAAGGGGACUCAAAAAUGUGGGAAGGGACCCCAAAAUGUGGGGGGAGGGCCCUAAAACGCUGGGGGGGACCCCGAGCUGCUUUUGUGGGGUGGGUUUUUGGGGCCGGGCGCCCGUUUUU